AGGGAGUUUUGAAUGUUGUUGUAAAAUAUUUAAACAAUACAAAACAUUCAAAACUCCCUAC
rfam:Acyrthosiphon pisum strain LSR1 Contig33136, whole genome shotgun sequence.